UUGAAAUUUUCUGCUUGCAUUUUUAUUCAAAUAUUCUCUUCCCCCUGUUUAGAAAAUUUUCGCAAAAAUAAUUCGUAAAUUAAAAAAUAGAUUUCAACAUCUUUCCAUGCAUACUUGUCGAGGCGACUUUGAAUUUUCCGUAGAACGAUUCGAAGCCUUUGAUCGCGGAAACGGAGACGUUCUUUCUUCUAGCGGAACAGCGGAACGAUUUAGGCCCUCGAGCGUUCCCCAAAUUCCACGAGGAAUUGCUCGCCUCCCCUUCCGCCUCGUUUCUUCCCGGUAACUCAUAACGAAAUGACAGACUGACUCGUCACCAUCGGCCCUCUCGCCCCUCCUCCCGCCUUCUUAUUUCCCUCUCGAGCCUUUUCAACUGCCAUCUUUCUUCCUCCGUCUUUUUCGCGAAGCUGCCUCCAUCUUUCUCGAUCGAGAGAGAAGCGCGAUGCUCGUGAAAGAGAGUGACGCGAAUCUCGGUGAACGAUUCCUCGUCCGGCAAUUCGAAACACGACGCAAGCUGUUGUUCCAUAAUGAUUUUUACGGACGUUGCAUGUGUAAAAUUAUUCGUGCGAGAUAAGUAAUAUUGUGUAUAUUUGUGUAAAUUAUUAUUUAGAAAGAAAGAAACAAUUCAAUAUUACAAACACAUGGAUUCUCAUCAAGAUUUCCAAUAAGAUUCUCUCCAAGGACCUAACCUAAAAUUGUCUACGUGUGAUUUUUAAUAUUUUCGACGUUAAAACUAUCCAGAACCUCUAAUAGAGACUAAAUAACAUCUUAUAAUGUACAAUGAAGAUAUUAUCUUAAUAAUAGCAAUACGAUUUGAAUGUUCGACGAUAUGUUUUAACUUUAACGCGUUUUCUUGUAAAUUCGAAAUGUGGGGCCGAUCGCCCCUUUUUCUCAAAAGUGCACAAUUCGUCGCAAUUUGUCGAUCGCAAGUUUGGUCGGGCGCCUUGAAGAGAAAUAUCGCUGGAUUUCUCUGCCUCGAACGAAACUGCUGACAAGGUGAAGAAUUUCGAUGGCUUACGAGCUACCAGUGGACUUGGCGCAGAUCCGUUUUGCGAGCCAGAAGAAAGGAGGAGGGAGAGGGGGGAGCGCUCGAGCGAACGGAAUAUUUUUCUCGCAUAGAAUUAGAGUACAUGGAUGAGAGAAAUUAUUUUAAAAUGAAUUUUAAAAAAAAUUUUUUGCAAUUUUGAAAUAAUGUACAAAUUUUCGCACUAUUUAUUUUUCAUGGUUUUGUUUAUUGUAUAUACUUUACAUUUCCGAGUUUCAAAUUUUUAUAAAAUUAAUUUGAUACUUAAGGUGCUCUAUUUUUUCAGGUAGCUGAAUUAUAUAACUAUAAAGAAUAUUAAUUGUUAUCGUAAAACACGUUUAAAACUAUUCUAAAAAUCACAAUUUAUUUAUUGAAUUAUAAAUAAUUUAAUUUCAAAUGUAAAGAGAUGUGACAAAGACAGAAAUAUAACAUAAUUCACAAACAUAAUUCACCCUUUAUGAUAUAAAUGAUCUACAACAAUCGUCGAAUAAAAAAAAAUAAAUAAAUAAAAGGAAAAAAAUGAGUAUCAAAAAUAAAAGUGCAAAAAAUAUCAGGAAAAAUGGAAAACAGGGGAGGGGGCCAAAAAUACCGAGAAAAUACAGUUCGACGAUGCAAGAGAGGGGAAGGAGAGAGCGAUUUGGCGGCGUUUAACGACUGCUUGGAAAAUAGAAUCACGCAAAGAUUUGCAUAGAGCUCUAUGAAGACGUCGUGGAUUCUAAAAUAUUUUAUCUUUCAUAUACUUUAGACUUCAGACUUCAACUUGUUAUCGUUUAUUUUGGAUAAAUUGUUGAUACUGUGUUCAAGAAAUAGAAGAAUCUUUUCUUUUCUUUCUUAUUCGAUUUUUUGAUGAAUGGAAUUCGAAAUUUGAAACAUAAAUAUCUAACUACGACGAUUCGAGAGCUUUUAAUAUGAAGAUCGUGUUAAAUAAAGGGAUAAAUAGAUAUCUCUCAGCAAAUAAAACUAUUCGUUCAAGUAAUAUUUAUUACGAUAUCGCGUAUGAAGAUAUUGUCCAAAUCAGAGAAGAAAAAGGAAAAACAUUCAAUAAUGAAAUAUAGCGAAGGAAGAAUGAAAAUAUUCAAACUAUAUACACGAUACAUGAAAUAAUAUUACGAUAUUUAAAGUCUCUAAUCAACCUUUCUUUAAUUAUUUAUAUAAAAAUUGUAAAUAAUAAUUAUAUUUUUCACUUUUUCAUAUUC